UUUUAAUCGUUGCCGGAAGAUUAAGGAUUUUAUUUUAUUUUAGAAGGCAAGACAAGAAUUAUGGCAAAAUAAAAUCCUUAAUCUUCUGGCAACGAUUAAAA
rnacentral:miRNA from 1 species